UUGGCCCAUAGACCAGGAGGCCUGGGACUGC
rnacentral:piRNA from 1 species